UAAGGAAUAUUGGUCAAUGGACGAAAGUCUGAACCAGCCAUGCCGCGUGAAGGAUGAAGGUCCUCUGGAUUGUAAACUUCUUUUAUCUGGGACGAAAAAAGGGAAUUCUUUCUCACUUGACGGUACCAGAAGAAUAAGCACCGGCUAACUCCGUGCCAGCAGCCGCGGUAAUACGGAGGGUGCAAGCGUUAUCCGGAUUCACUGGGUUUAAAGGGUGCGUAGGUGGGCAGUUAAGUCAGUGGUGAAUCUCCGGGCUUAACCCGGAAACUGCCAUUGAUACUAUCUGUCUUGAAUACUCUGGAGGUAAGCGGAAUAUGUCAGUGUAGCGGUGAAAUGCUUAGAUAUGACAUAGAACACCGAUUGCGAAGGCAGCUUACUACGGAGUCAAUUGACACUGAGGAC
rnacentral:rRNA from 1 species